UACAGGGGGUGCAAACGCUGCUCGGAAUCAUUGGGCGUAAAGCGCACGUAGGCGGUUCGUUAUGUCGGAUGUGAAAGCCCUUGGCUUAACCGAGGAAGUGCAUCCGAAACUGGCGAGCUAGAGUACGAAAGAGGAUCGCGGAAUUCCCGGUGUAGAGGUGAAAUUCGUAGAUAUCGGGAGGAACACCUGUGGCGAAAGCGGCGCACUGGACCACAACUGACGCUGAGGCGCGAAAGCUAGGGGAGCAAACAGG
rnacentral:rRNA from 1 species